UUCGAUUAUGCGAUGAAUUCAUUCGAUUAUGCGCUGUUUGCAUGUGAUAAAUUAUUCGAUGCGCUGAAUUCAUGCGCUAAAUUAUUCGAUGCGCUGUUUGCAUGCGCUAAAUUAUUCGAUGCGCUGUUUGCAUGCGCUAAAUUAUUCGAUGCGCUGUUUGCAUGCGCUAAAUUAUUCGAUGCGCUGAAUUCAUGCGCUAAAUUAUUCGAUGCGCUGUUUGCAUGCGCUAAAUUAUUCGAUGCGCUGAAUUCAUGCGCUAAAUUAUUCGAUGCGCUGUUUGCAUGCGAUAAAUUAUUCGAUGCGCUGAAUUCAUGCGCUAAAUUAUUCGAUGCGCUGUUUGCAUGCGAUAAAUUAUUCGAUAGUUUUGGCGCCUCAAUCAAAACUCAAGGAUUACAAAAUUAAUAUGGCUGACGAAAGAACACGAGCUAUAUUAAAGAAACUUGGAUUGAAACACCUUAUUUUGAAGUUUAGUGAAGAAAAUAUAACCGCUGAUUUGAUACCAAAGCUUUCUCUAAAGCAUUUCGAAAGCUUAGGUGUAACAGAUAAUGGAGUUAUAAUGAACUUGAGGGUAAAAUUUUGCAGCUUUGGUGGAAUUAAACCACAAAAGUUAAAGUGGGAAAAUGGAGGAGCUCCAAAAUUCCUAAUACCUGAAGAAGUCCUACAAAACCUACUCAAUGACGGCUGUCUUAUUUCGGAGAUCAGCAAUAUCUUAUGCGUUUCAGAAAGAACAAUUUAUAGAAGAAUGGAAGAGUAUGGGCUUAAAAAGCAUAACUUUACAGAAAUGUCUAAUGAAGAGUGUGAUUCAAUUCUGAGCACUGUGACUCAAGAGUUUCCUAAUUGUGGCGAAGUUAUGUUACGAGAACUGUUAAAACAUUUCUUGUUGUUGUGAGCUUCUUAAAAACUAAAAAAAAAUCUAAAAAGAUAAAUAUUCUAUGAAAAUGAGUGUUUAUUCUUAUUUUUUUAGGCUUGAGUUUGCUUCAGAAUGGCCCAUUUCCACAGUUUUUGGAAGAAGAUGACCUGCAAAAAAUAUUUUUUAACGAAGAACCUGGCAAAUUCAAUGAACUCCGAAGAGCUUUCAAGGAUCUUGGAAUUUUCCAAAUUGUGGAAGCCUUUCCUAUCAUGCUACACCUUUUCCGACCCAAUCCUAAUGCUACUUUCACUUUUAAAAAACUGGUCAACUUGCUUCAGCCAAAAUGGGCAGCUGAAGGGUCAAACGAACAUUACAGGCAGAAAAAGCUUUAUCCGUCAUUAAUGAAAUAUUUGAGGCAAGCACAUGGUAAGUGUCAAAUUUAAAUUUCCACGCGCUCGCUCCGCUUUUCUAUAAACUAAAUAGCCAAACAUUUUUUAUUUUGUAUGAGCAGAGUUUCACAAAGGAAGCUGGCUUCUGCUACCUUAAGGGAAGAAAUUAUGUGCGGAAGAAAUAUCUAUAUAUAAACUUUCUAUUUUUGUUACUGUUUAGGUGGAAAACGUUCGGGUGUUUCGCUUCCCGAUGUACUAAGGUUUGUCACUGGAAGUGAAGAAGAGCCUUUGUUAGGAUUUGCACUGGCCCCUUCGAUAAAAUUUGUUCCGGUGAUGGAAGAAGGUCGAUUUUGACGCGCCAAAACUAUCGAA